GGAAGUAAAAGUCGUAACAAGGUUUCCGUAGGUGAACCUGCGGAAGGAUCAUUACCGAGUUUUCGAGCUCCGGCUCGACUCUCCCACCCUUUGUGAACGUACCUCUGUUGCUUUGGCGGCUCCGGCCGCCAAAGGACCUUCAAACUCCAGUCAGUAAACGCAGACGUCUGAUAAACAAGUUAAUAAACUAAAACUUUCAACAACGGAUCUCUUGGUUCUGGCAUCGAUGAAGAACGCAGCGAAAUGCGAUAAGUAAUGUGAAUUGCAGAAUUCAGUGAAUCAUCGAAUCUUUGAACGCACAUUGCGCCCCUUGGUAUUCCGGGGGGCAUGCCUGUUCGAGCGUCAUUACAACCCUCAAGCUCUGCUUGGAAUUGGGCACCGUCCUCACUGCGGACGCGCCUCAAAGACCUCGGCGGUGGCUGUUCAGCCCUCAAGCGUAGUAGAAUACACCUCGCUUUGGAGCGGUUGGCGUCGCCCGCCGGACGAACCUUCUGAACUUUUCUCAAGGUUGACCUCGGAUCAGGUAGGGAUACCCGCUGAACUUAAGCAUAUCAAUAAGCGGAGGA
rnacentral:rRNA from 1 species